UGCAGUCGAACGAGCUUCCGUUGAAUGACGUGCUUGCACUGAUUUCAACAAUGAAGCGAGUGGCGAACUGGUGAGUAACACGUGGGGAAUCUGCCCAGAAGCAGGGGAUAACACUUGGAAACAGGUGCUAAUACCGUAUAACAACAAAAUCCGCAUGGAUUUUGUUUGAAAGGUGGCUUCGGCUAUCACUUCUGGAUGAUCCCGCGGCGUAUUAGUUAGUUGGUGAGGUAAAGGCCCACCAAGACGAUGAUACGUAGCCGACCUGAGAGGGUAAUCGGCCACAUUGGGACUGAGACACGGCCCAAACUCCUACGGGAGGCAGCAGUAGGGAAUCUUCCACAAUGGACGAAAGUCUGAUGGAGCAAUGCCGCGUGAGUGAAGAAGGGUUUCGGCUCGUAAAACUCUGUUGUUAAAGAAGAACACCUUUGAGAGUAACUGUUCAAGGGUUGACGGUAUUUAACCAGAAAGCCACGGCUAACUACGUGCCAGCAGCCGCGGUAAUACGUAGGUGGCAAGCGUUGUCCGGAUUUAUUGGGCGUAAAGCGAGCGCAGGCGGUUUUUUAAGUCUGAUGUGAAAGCCUUCGGCUUAACCGGAGAAGUGCAUCGGAAACUGGGAGACUUGAGUGCAGAAGAGGACAGUGGAACUCCAUGUGUAGCGGUGGAAUGCGUAGAUAUAUGGAAGAACACCAGUGGCGAAGGCGGCUGUCUAGUCUGUAACUGACGCUGAGGCUCGAAAGCAUGGGUAGCGAACAGGAUUAGAUACCCUGGUAGUCCAUGCCGUAAACGAUGAGUGCUAAGUGUUGGAGGGUUUCCGCCCUUCAGUGCUGCAGCUAACGCAUUAAGCACUCCGCCUGGGGGAGUACGACCGCAAGGUUGAAACUCAAAGGAAAUUGACGGG
rnacentral:rRNA from 1 species